GACAGAGGGUGCAAACGUUGUUCGGAAUACUGGCGUAAGCGCAAUGUAGGCGGCCCGGCCAGGUCGGAUGUGAAAUCCCUCGGCUCAACCAAGGAAGUGCAUUCGAAACCGCCAGGCUCGAGUCCCGGAGAGGAUGGUGGAAUUCUCGGUGUAGAGGUGAAAUUCGUAGAUAUCGAGAGGAACACCGGCGGCGAAGGCGGCCAUCUGGACGAGGACUGACGCUGAGAUGCGAAAGCGUGGGGAGCAAACAGG
rnacentral:rRNA from 1 species